rnacentral:rRNA from 1 species
AUUGAACGCUGGCGGCAGGCCUAACACAUGCAAGUCGAACGAGUGGCGGACGGGUGAGCAAUGUCUGGGAAACUGCCUGAUGGAUGGGGAUCACUACUGGAAACGGUAGCUAAUACCGCAUACCAUCGGAUGUGCCCGGAUGGGUUUAGCUUGUAGGUGGGGUAAAGGCUCACCUAGGCGACGAUCCCUAGCUGGUCUGAGAGGAUGAUCAGCCACACUGGAACUGAGACACGGUCCAGACUCCUACGGGAGGCAGCAGUGGGGAAUAUUGGACAAUGGGCGCAAGCCUGAUGCAGCCAUGCCGCGUGUAUGAAGAAGGCCUUCGGGUUGUAAAGUACUUUAAGCGGGGAGGCGUUACCCGCAGAAGAAGCACCGGCUAACUCCGUGCCAGCAGCCGCGGUAAUAC